rnacentral:rRNA from 1 species
GACGAACCGUGCGAACGUUGUUCGGAUUCACUGGGCUUAAAGGGCGCGUAGGCGGCUUGCCAAGUCGGGGGUGAAAUCUUUCGGCCUAACCGGAAAGGGCCCCCGAUACUGGCAGGCUUGAGGGAGAUAGGGGCACGCGGAACUUCCGGUGGAGCGGUGAAAUGCGUAGAUAUCGCUUGGAACGCCAAAGGUGAAACAGGUGCUGGGUUGUGCCGACGCUGAGACACGAAGCCAGGGGAGCAAACGGG